UUCUAUGCCCAUGCCACCUUGAACAAACCUGAUCCUGUCCGAUCUUGGAAGCUAAGCAGGGUUGGGUCUGGUUAGUACUUGGAUGGGAGACCACCUAGGAAGAUCAGGUGCUGUAGGCA
rnacentral:rRNA from 1 species